GACGAACGCUGGCAGCGUGCCUAAUACAUGCAAGUCGAGCGGACAGAAGGGAGCUUGCUCCCGGAAGUUAGCGGCGGACGGGUGAGUAACACGUGGGCAACCUACCCUGUAGAUCGGGAUAACAUCGAGAAAUCGGUGCUAAUACCGGAUAAUCAUUUGAAGUGCAUGCUUCGAAUGUAAAAGAUGGCUCCGGCUAUCACUACGGGAUGGGCCCGCGGCGCAUUAGCUAGUUGGUAAGGUAAUGGCUUACCAAGGCAACGAUGCGUAGCCGACCUGAGAGGGUGAUCGGCCACACUGGGACUGAGACACGGCCCUGACUCCUACGGGAGGCAGCAGUAGGGAAUCUUCCGCAAUGGACGAAAGUCUGACGGAGCAACGCCGCGUGAGUGAUGAAGGUUUUCGGAUCGUAAAGCUCUGUUGUUAGGGAAGAACAAGUGCCGUUUGAAUAAGGCGGCACCUUGACGGUACCUAACCAGAAAGCCACGGCUAACUACGUGCCAGCCGCCGCAGUAAAAC
rnacentral:rRNA from 1 species